rnacentral:rRNA from 1 species
UACAGAGGUCUCAAGCGUUGUUCGGAUUCAUUGGGCGUAAAGGGUGCGUAGGUGGCGCCGUAAGUCAGGUGUGAAAUUUCGGAGCUUAACUCCGAAACUGCAUUUGAUACUGCGGUGCUUGAGGACUGGAGAGGAGACUGGAAUUCACGGUGUAGCAGUGAAAUGCGUAGAUAUCGUGAGGAAGACCAGUGGCGAAGGCGGGUCUCUGGACAGUUCCUGACACUGGAGGCACGAAGGCCAGGGGAGCAAACGGG